UUUCAUGCAAAAUAAGUGCUGUUGUGAUUUUCCAAGUAAAUGGAAAUGUAGAAAAGUUUUUUAUUCUGAAAAAAAGUGAUUUCCGUUACUUUGGUGCCAAAACCGUUGACGACCAGUCCAACUGCACGUCCUACCCGGCCUUCACCGAUACGGAGCGCCAAGAUCCAGGUCACAGUAAACCCAACCAUCAACAUCUUCGAUCCAGCCAAUAAGAUAAACAUGAAUCACUGGUCUUUCGUUGGGGUAUCGUCGAACGUAUGGCGUAUCAUCAAUGAAGCGAUAGCUGCUACCAUUGCCUAUAGUCCACGUAGAAAACCGUCGGCGAGCAUAACGUGAAGCAUACCCUUCGUCGUCGACCUGGGCCUGGGUCGUUGUUCGAGGAAACCAUCUUCUAUACCUCGAUCACCCGUGUCCGUUUUAAAAGGACUGAAUGCCGCCGUCGAGAAUGCAGAUCAUCAACAACAUGAUCAUUGUGGGUGAAUCUAUACUAUUAUUAUGGCACAGGAGAUCCUUCAUGACUUCUGAAAGGGUAAGGUAAGGAGUUGAACGAGUCAAAACGUUGCUUACGACGGCACUGCUGACUCACGUAUUGCACAGUCGCUGCGGAACAACUCACACCUGUCGCAGUAAUUAUGCAUGAUCCCCGGUACCUAGUAAGAAUACUUUAAAAACAUCAGCAGUGAUAAAGCCGAUUAAAAAAACACUAGUAUAUGCUAACGCUCAUUGAAUACGAUCCGAACCUCUAGACAUGCCGACCGGCAAAAUAAAUAUUCCGUUGAAUAACAUUGACAUUCCGCUUACGAUUAUUAUGGAGCACAAGAAACGAAAAACAACAACCUGGAUCAGAACGUGGACAAAAAUUAUAGGUACAAUUGUUCCAUCACCGGCAUAGAAUCAUCAAAUCAAAUGAAACAUCGGAAUCACUUAGCUGUAUAUUGCUGCACCUCUGACUGGGUGACCAUCAACACUUCGCUACAUAUUUUUUCGUUCUACAUCUUUUUCGACGUUCAUAAACCACCAUGCCCAACUGGCAUCGUAAUAACUAACACUAUGUCCAUUCCUUUCGGAGAUGAUUCGGAACGAUUUCGUUCUUUUCCGUUGUUAAUAAUGUUAAUCUGACUUACAUUUAAAACUAUACUGCAUAUUUAAGAUCCGAAUUUUUCAUUCCAUCAAUAUUGCGAAAGGAUUCAGCAAAAGCAUUCUAUCGUAAAAGAAAAACUACUUGCACGAUUAUAGCUUCACUUCCACGCGUUGAAAAAAUAUA